UGGCUCAGUGGUAGAGUGUUUGUUUAGCAAGCAAAGGCCCUGGGUUGGAUUUCCAG
rnacentral:tRNA from 1 species